rnacentral:lncRNA from 1 species
AGAGCUCACCCUCUCUGAAGGAGAGCAGGUGCCUCCUGAGAGCAGGGCUUCUCUACCUUGGGGCACUAUGAACAUUCUGAGUGGGGCGCCCUGAACGAGUGCCCAGAUGCUUGUGAGGCCCAGAUCUUGGGGUGUGCAGCCAGGAAGGGCUCUGCUAGCUUUCCCACCUCCCUCCUGACCUCUUCUGCCCCUCACUGGACCCAGCCCGUUGGCUUCAGGAUGGGCCCCACGGGACAUGCUUUCAUGGAACCUGAGGAAAGAAUGCACUUACAACAGCGCCGGGAGCACAGAGGCUUCCCACUACCCUUUCCGAGAAGCACGUCUAUUUUCUCUAAUUUAUUCAGUGCCGCUGUGCGUGUGUGGCCUCUCAGUGCCCACUUUGUUCAUCUCUGCUCACUGGGGGAGCCAGGACACGGAUCCAGGUUUUCUGACUCCAGGUAGGCACCCAAAUCAAGACUCAGAUUUCCUCAUCUCAGAAGUUGUCCACUUCUUCUCCGACCUCCACGGUAACUCGGAACCACACCGUGGAGUUAUCCCUGUGUCCUCUUUCUCGGAAGUUCCACAUCCAACCCCUCAGCAGGUCUCAGCGGCACUCUCACCACCUCCUCUGCUCUGUUCCUGUUUCUCUUGGAUGGUCGAAUGUUUCCUAAGGAGUGUCUGCUGCUUCACGCUUGCCCCCUGGAGUGGCAUCUAAAAGGAUACCCUACAACUAACAGGCAUGAUGCCAUCAAGACAUCUUGAGCCUGGCUACCUCCCGUGGCCUGUAUUUUGUCCACAGGAAACUCGCGCAGUCUCACUACAGCAAAUUGAGGUGGUAUGGGGUGCCUGCUGCUGCCUCUCUCUUCACCUUUCCACAGAGGGCUGCCCCAGCCUGACUCCCACUUCCAGAGUUUCUCCAGCCAGGAGAAUCCUGAAAUCUCUGUAAAUAAGCAAUCCAGGAGCCAGAGAAUCAUGGGAUCUCAUAUAAACAAAUCAUCAAGGAAAAACACAGCCAGAGUCUCCAUUUGGUAAACCUCCGUGACUGGGGAUCCCCGGCCACCCAGAAAGCAGUAUUGCCUGCCAUGCAUGUCAUCACUGAUUUUUACUGCUGCAGCAGACUCCGUCAGACCUGCCUGCUGCUUCAGCGAAUUGUUCAGUGCACACCACCAGCUACCUGCUGUAAGCAUUCACACUCCUCUACCUGCCUGGCAGCAUUUCUCAGCUGAACACAGGCCAGGCCAGAAGUGCCAGGGAUUUAAUGCCCUUAGAAGUAGCUCUCUACCAAUGACAAAUGGAGCUGGUGGAUACAUUCUCAGCUUCCUCCCCUCUCAGGUGGAACAGCCCUGAGAUGUGCUCUAUGCAAUCUCCCACAAGUCCCCAGCAGGCUCAAGCUCCCAUUGUCCAACCCUGGUAACCUGCUCAUUGACACCCCUGUCUUGCCUUCCCUUCCUGGCCUCACUUUCUCACUCUCUUACUGUUGCCUCCUGAGAUCGCAUCCAAAAUAAAUGACCUGCACCCA